rnacentral:rRNA from 1 species
ACCGCCUGGGGACUACGGCCGCAAGGCUAAAACUCAAAGGAAUUGACGGGGACCCGCACAAGCAGCGGAGCGUGUGGUUUAAUUCGAGGCUACGCGAAGAACCUUACCAGGGUUUGACAUCACGGUGGUAGAGAUCUGAAAAGUGAUCGACCCUUCGGGGAGCCGUGACAGGUGCUGCAUGGCUGUCGUCAGCUCGUGCCGUGAGGUGUUAGGUUAAGUCCUGUAACGAGCGCAACCCACGUCGUUAGUUAUAUGUGUCUAACGAGACUGCCGGUGAUAAGCCGGAGGAAGGUGUGGAUGACGUCAAGUCAGCAUGGCCUUUAUAUCCUGGGCUACACACACGCUACAAUGGCCGGUACAAUGGGCAGCGAAACCGCGAGGUGGAGCCAAUCUCUAAAGCCGUCUCAGUUCGGAAUUGUAGGCUGCAACUCGACUCCAUGAAGUUGGAAUCGCUAGUAAUCGUGGAUCAGCAUGCCACGGUGAAUACGUUCCCGGGCCUUGUACACACCGCCCGUCACACCAUGGAAGUCGACUGCUCCAGAAGUCGUUGAGCCAACCCGCAAGGGAGGCAGGCGCCGAAGGAGUGGUCGGUAACUGGGGUGAAGUCGUAACAAGGUAACCGUA